UACAGAGGGUGCGAGCGUUAAUCGGAAUUACUGGGCGUAAAGCGUGCGUAGACGGCUAUCUAAGUCGGGUGUGAAAGCCCCGGGCUCAACCUGGGAAUUGCCUUCGAUACUGUUUGGCUAGAGGCCGGAAGAGGUAAGUGGAACUGCGAGUGUAGAGGUGAAAUUCGUAGAUAUUCGCAAGAACACCAGUGGCGAAGGCGGCUCACUGGCCCGGUACUGACGCUGAGGUGCGAAAGCGUGGGGGAGCAAACAGGG
rnacentral:rRNA from 1 species